rnacentral:rRNA from 1 species
GACAGAGGGUGCGAGCGUUAUUCGGAAUUAUUGGGUGUAAAGGGCGUGUAGGCGGUUCUGUAAGUUAAAUGUGAAAGACUAGGGCUCAACCCUGGGGCAGCAUUUAAUACUAUAGGGCUAGAGACCGGGAGAGGUAAAUGGAAUUCACUAGUGGAGAGGUCAAAUUCGUAGAUAUUAGGAGGAACACCGGAGACGAAAGUGAUUUACUGGAACGGAUCUGACGCUGAGAUGCGAAAGCGUGGGGAGCAAACAGG